UAAUCGUUCAAAAACAAAUGAGGAUCUUGCUAACAACGACUUCUUCCUCUCUAAAAAUGAAGGAUCUUCAAUAUCCUUAAAUGUAACUUUACUUUUAGUUAUCUCAUCCAUUCUUUUAUAUAUUUUGAUUUGAUAAAUAGCUUCUUCUUUUUUCAGGUUAUAAGUUGGUUUAUCUUAGGUCAGCAAGUAACAUGAUGACUUGAAACUUGGGUAGAGAGAUAAGAUCAAUCAAAAACCUUGGAAGCAACAAAUUGUGGAGUGUAAGUUCUUGAAUAAGUUGUGAGACUUGGGUACAUGAGACACCUUUUGCACCAUUGUAAUUAGAGAAAAAAAAGUAAUAUUUUUUCAAUACAAUAAUAGGGUUCUUACUUAGUAAGCUAACGCUCCUACCUCCCUAGUUAGAGGAUGUUUUUUGGUUUAUGGUGAAAUAAAAAAA
rnacentral:lncRNA from 1 species